GACGAACGCUGGCGGCGUGCCUAAUACAUGCAAGUCGAACGGUCUUUUCUAUGGAAGCUUGCUUCCACUGAGAAGAUAGUGGCGAACGGGUGAGUAACACGCGGGUAACCUGCCCAUAAGAGGGGGAUAACAUCCGGAAACGGGUGCUAAUACCGCAUAGGUUUCUUGGUCGCAUGAUCGAGAAAGGAAAGACGGCCUUAGUGCUGUCGUUUAUGGAUGGACCCGCGGCGUAUUAGGUAGUUGGUGAGGUAACGGCUCACCAAGACGAUGAUACGUAGCCGACCUGAGAGGGUGAUCGGCCACAUUGGGACUGAGACACGGCCCAAACUCCUACGGGAGGCAGCAGUAGGGAAUCUUCCGCAAUGGACGAAAGUCUGACGGAGCAACGCCGCGUGAGUGAAGAAGGUUUUCGGAUCGUAAAACUCUGUUGUCAGAGAAGAACAAGUCGGAGAGUAACUGCUCCGGCCUUGACGGUAUCUGACCAGAAAGCCACGGCUAACUACGUGCCAGCCGCCGCUGUAAAAC
rnacentral:rRNA from 1 species